rnacentral:rRNA from 1 species
UUCCUACGGGAGGCAGCAGUGGGGAAUAUUGCACAAUGGGCGCAAGCCUGAUGCAGCGACGCCGCGUGAGGGAUGACGGCCUUCGGGUUGUAAACCUCUUUCAGUAGGGAAGAAGCGAAAGUGACGGUACCUGCAGAAGAAGCACCGGCUAACUACGUGCCAGCAGCCGCGGUAAUACGUAGGGUGCGAGCGUUAUCCGGAAUUAUUGGGCGUAAAGAGCUCGUAGGCGGUUUGUCGCGUCUGUCGUGAAAGUCCGGGGCUUAACCCCGGAUCUGCGGUGGGUACGGGCAGACUAGAGUGCAGUAGGGGAGACUGGAAUUCCUGGUGUAGCGGUGGAUUGCGCAGAUAUCAGGAGGAACACCGAUGGCGAAGGCAGGUCUCUGGGCUGUAACUGACGCUGAGGAGCGAAAGCAUGGGGAGCGAACAGGAUUAGAUACCCUGGUAGUCCAUGCCGUAAACGUUGGGCACUAGGUGUGGGGACCAUUCCACGGUUUCCGCGCCGCAGCUAACGCAUUAAGUGCCCCGCCUGGGGAGUACGGCCGCAAGGCUAAAACUCAAAUGAAUUGACGGA